GUCAAAACGACUCUCGGCAACGGAUAUCUCGGCUCUCGCAUCGAUGAAGAACGUAGCGAAAUGCGAUACUUGGUGUGAAUUGCAGAAUCCCGUGAACCAUCGAGUCUUUGAACGCAAGUUGCGCCCGAAGCCUUUAGGCCGAGGG
rnacentral:rRNA from 2 species